GAUGUCCUCGAUGCAGUCGGCAUCUUGAAGUACUCAGGCAACAGAGAAGAGAUGGAAAUUCUCACAAAAGCACCAGAUUACGCUAGCCAAUACGAAAAAGUUCAGCACCCAUUAAAGGAAAAAUCGAUGUCAUUCCUGAAGAGAAAACCAAGAUGCCUAAGCAAAGCAAAACGACAGCACAACCUCGUCCUCGACGUGAAAGCGCAAUAACUGCGCAAGUGGUGAAAAGCACAGAUGAUGAGGUCAUGGCAGCUGGAUAU